UACGGAGGGUGCGAGCGUUAAUCGGAUUUACUGGGCGUAAAGGGCACGCAGGCGGACGUUUAAGUGAGCUGUGAAAUCCCCGGGCUCAACCUGGGAAUUGCAUUUCAAACUGGAUGGCUAGAGUCCUUUAGGGAGGGGUAGAAUUCCACGUGUAGCGGUGAAAUGCGUAGAGAUCUGGAGGAAUACCGAUGGCGAAGGCAGCCCCUUGGGAAUGUACUGACGCUCAUGUGCGAAAGCGCGGGGAGCAAACAGG
rnacentral:rRNA from 1 species